AAAGAGACAAAUCAUAGGUUUCCGUAUUCAACGUUUGACCGCCCGUCUUAUUUGAAAAAAUUAUGAAAAAAACUAAAAAGAUAAGUCACGCAUAAAGUAUUAAUCAUGUUUUAUCAUCUAACAAUAAUAAAAAUACUAAUUAUAAAAAAAUUUCAUAUAAGACGGAUAAUCAAACGUUGGACAUGGAAACCCAGGGUUUGUCUUUUU
rnacentral:pre_miRNA from 1 species